CCUGGUCAUCCCUACUGCCUCUGAUCUGGAGGACUCACUAAACAGAGAACAUCCCUGGUUAUCCCUACUGCCUCUGAUCUGGUGGACUCACUAAACAGAGAACAUCCCUGGUCAUCCCUACUGCCUCUGAUCUGGAGGACUCACUAAACAGAGAACAUCCCUGGUUAUCCCUACUGCCUCUGAUCUGGUGGACUCACUAAACAGAGAACAUCCCUGGUCCUCCCUACUGCCUCUGAUCUGGAGGACUCACUAAACAGAGAACAUCCCUGGUCAUCCCUACUGCCUCUGAUCUGGAGGACUCACUAAACAGAGAACAUCCCUGGUCGUCCCUACUGCCUCUGAUCUGGAGGACUCACUAAACAGAGAACAUCCCUGGUCAUCCCUACUGCCUCUGAUCUGGUGGACUCACUAAACAGAGAACAUCCCUGGUCAUCCCUACUGCCUCUGAUCUGGAAGACUCACUAAACAGAGAACAUCCCUGGUCAUCCCUACUGCCUCUGAUCUGGUGGACUCACUAAACAGAGAACAUCCCUGGUCAUCCCUACUGCCUCUGAUCUGGAGGACUCACUAAACAGAGAACAUCCUUGGUCAUCCCUACUGCCUCUGAUCUGGAGGACUCACUAAACAGAGAACAUCCCUGGUUAUCCCUACUGCCUCUGAUCUGGUGGACUCACUAAACAGAGAACAUCCCUGGUCAUCCCUACUGCCUCUGAUCUGGAGGACUCACUAAACAGAGAACAUCCCUGGUCAUCCCUACUGCCUCUGAUCUGGAGGACUCACUAAACAGAGAACAUCCCUGGUCGUCCCUACUGCCUCUGAUCUGGAGGACUCACUAAACAGAGAACAUCCCUGGUUAUCCCUACUGCCUCUGAUCUGGUGGACUCACUAAACAGAGAACAUCCCUGGUCAUCCCUACUGCCUCUGAUCUGGAAGACUCACUAAACAGAGAACAUCCCUGGUCAUCCCUACAGCCUCUGAUCUGGAGGACUCACUAAAUAGAGAACAUCCCUGGUUAUCCCUACUGCCUCUGAUCUGGUGGACUCACUAAACAGAGAACAUCCCUGGUCAUCCCUACUGCCUCUGAUCUGGAGGACUCACUAAACAGAGAACAUCCUUGGUCAUCCCUACUGCCUCUGAUCUGGAGGACUCACUAAACAGAGAACAUCCCUGGUUAUCCCUACUGCCUCUGAUCUGGUGGACUCACUAAACAGAGUACAUCCCUGGUCAUCCCUACUGCCUCUGAUCUGGAGGACUCACUAAACAGAGAACAUCCUUGGUCCUCCCUACUGCCUCUGAUCUGGAGUGUACCCCUGGCUAUCCAUAAAUAAAAUAAAAACAAGAAAAUGGUGCUUUUCUGCUUAAUAGAAGGAAUUUGAAAAAAACAUAUAUUUUUUUUAACUUUUGAUACUUAAGGAUAUUUUUAUAAAUGUACUUUUGAUACUUCAGUAUAUUUAAAACCAAAAUACCUUUAGACUUUUACUCAAGUAGUAUUUUACUAGGUGACUCACUUUUACUUGAGUCAUUUUCUAUGUAUCUUUUGUAUCUUUAGUACUUUUUCCACCAUUGAGUUUGUUUUUAUUAUAUUUGAGUACGCGAGUUAGUUUUAAAAAAAGGGUCUAUGCAGGUAGUUUGGGUAUUUAGCAGGCAGUCUUAUGCCUUGGAUGUCACAUCCUGACCAGUAAUAGGGGAUAUUUGUUAUUGUAGUUUGGUCAGGACGUGGCAGAGGGUAUUUGUUAUUGUAGUUUGGUCAGGACGUGGCAGAGGGGUAUUUGUUAUUGUAGUUUGGUCAGGACGUGGCAGAGGGGUAUUUGUUAUUGUAGUUUGGUCAGGACGUGGCAGAGGGGUUAUUUGUUAUUGUAGUUUGGUCAGGACGUGGCAGAGGGGGGAUUUGUUAUUGUAGUUUGGUCAGGACGUGGCAGAGGGGUAUUUGUUAUUGUAGUUUGGUCAGGACGUGGCAGAGGGGUAUUUGUUAUUGUAGUUUGGUCAGGACGUGGCAGAGGGGUUAUUUGUUAUUGUAGUUUGGUCAGGACGUGGCAGAGGGGUAUUUGUUAUUGUAGUUUGGUCAGGACGUGGCAGAGGGGUAUUUGUUAUUGUAGUUUGGUCAGGACGUGGCAGAGGGGUAUUUGUUAUUGUAGUUUGGUCAGGACGUGGCAGAGGGGUAUUUGUUAUUGUAGUUUGGUCAGGACGUGGCAGAGGGGUAUUUGUUUUAUGUGGUUUGGUCAGGACGUGGCAGAGGGGUAUUUGUUAUUGUAGUUUGGUCAGGACGUGGCAGAGGGUUAUUUGUUAUUGUAGUUUGGUCAGGACGUGGCAGAGGGGUUAUUUGUUAUUGUAGUUUGGUCAGGACGUGGCAGAGGGGUAUUUGUUAUUGUAGUUUGGUCAGGACGUGGCAGAGGGGUAUUUGUUAUUGUAGUUUGGUCAGGACGUGGCAGAGGGGGUAUUUGUUAUUGUAGUUUG
rnacentral:lncRNA from 1 species